rnacentral:rRNA from 1 species
GACGAACGCUGGCGGCGUGCUUAACACAUGCAAGUCGAACGAAGUGGCGAACGGGUGAGUAACGCGUAAUCAACCUGCCCUUCAGAGGGGGACAACAGUUGGAAACGACUGCUAAUACCCCAUAAUGAAGGAGGGGCUUGCGUUGGAUUAGCUAGUUGGAGGGGUAACGGCCAACCAAGGCGAUGCUCAGUAGCCGGUCUGAGAGGAUGAUCGGCCACAUUGGAACGUAGACACGGCCCAGACUCCUACGGGAGGCAGAAGUGGGGAAUCUUCCGCAAUGGACGAAAGCCUGACCGAGCAAUGCCGCGUGAAUGAAGAAGGUUUUCGGAUCGUAAAACUCUGUUGUUGGAGAAGCGGUAUCUAACCAGAAAGCAACGGCUAACUACGUGCCAGCAGCCGCGGUAAUAC